UCCAGCAUCAGUGUGUCGGAUCUCAGCAUCAGUCUCUCUCUUCCUCUGGAGGUGGAAUAUCAGGAUAUAAACAGCUACAGCUGUGUAGUGAACAAUCCUGUCAGCAACCAGACCACACAUCUGGAUAUCGAUCAACUCUGUCAGACAUGUUCAGACUGUGACUACUACUGGAAUCAAACGACUGAAGCUGUGAUCCGAUUGGUCGUCUCUGCUGUGGUGGGCGCGGCUGCUGUUGCUGCUGUUGUUGUACUAUUUUAUGACAUCAGAUCCAGAAGAGCUGGACUGGAGAGGAAAAAAUGUGUUUACCAAACAGUAAUGUACCUAGUAUUAUUAAACAAGAAUAAACAGUCUUUUUAUUUCUGUCACUUUCAUUUGUUCAAAACAUUAUAUCUUUUAUUAGUCUAUUCCAUCGAUCUCCAGUCUAGUAUAGAAAAUGAAAUCUCGAUCUUAACCAACUGCUGUUGUCAGUUUGAUGAAUUUUUUAUUAUUAUUAUUUUUUUUUUUAAUAAACAUUGAAGUGUUUACCUUUCCUUUUCAUUACAAAUAGCUAAUUACAAAAACGUUUAAGUGUUAAAUGUUUGAAAAUAAAAUAUUUUUUUUCUAUCCUGUAAUUUUUUUAAGCUUGUAUGGUCAAGAAAACUAGCAAUAAAAUGUUUUAUUUGGAAGAUGA